AUCCCUACACGCCUGGUGGGCUCAGGCCGCCUGAAAACGCUCCUCGGCGCUUUGCCCGUACGGGUUGCCCUCUCCCCCGUAACCCGGUGUAGGGGCCGCCGCCACCCCGCGGGAGGCCCGCCGGGAUUAGCCGAUCUCCUCAUCCGCUCUGCCUUCUCUAUGGCCCAGGCCGCCGUCGCUCGGCAACGCGCCCUCUCUAUGGUCCCGCGGGCGGGAUGUGGCGGCUGCUGCUGGGCCGCGGCCUGGGCCGCUGCUGGCCGCCCCCCGCCCGCCCCGCCUGCGCCGCAGGCCCCGCCGCCGAGCCGCCCGACGGCCGCGGCCCCAGCCCCGAGCGAGCACCCGGCUGUCAGGAUGGACGGCCCCGGGAUGGCCGGGAGAGAGGAGGAAGGCAGCAGCCCCUGCCCGGCCUGGUGCCCCGCUACUCCGUGCUGGAGGCAGUCACCUGGGGAGCACUCGGUGCGCUUCUUCUGCAGUUGGUCAGACAGAUCUCGUGGCUGAGAUCGCUGCCGGACACCAGGAGAGAGCACAGGUCUCUCUGGCUUUCUUCGUUGCCCUCUCAGCAGACAGUGGUGACCGAAGCCUCAGCCAGCUGUCCCAGUGCACAGCUGGGGUCCUGCUUCCUGCAGAAAGGAAAUCCAGAGGUUGCACCAGAGAAUUCAUCCUCAAGCAUCCCCUCGGGGCAAGGAGAGAGCCAGCCCUGGGCAGAAGUGGGGGAGUUCCAAAUCCCUGAGAGCUCCAGCUUGGGGCCAGUUCUCCACAGUGCAAAGGGUGACCCAGCUCAGCGAGGGCGUUUAGAGGAAGCUGCUUUCCAGUUGCAGCAGAUUUUCCGGAUUGACAUUUCCAUUGCGUUGAAUAUCCUCGGGAUUGAAAGUAUGAGAGCGGGCCAUUACAGGAUAGCCUAUACCUGCUUCAAACUGGCAGCAGAUCGAGGCUACAGCAAAGCCCAGUUCAACGUGGGUCUGUGUUAUGAGCAUGGCAGAGGCACGGAAAAAGACUUGGAAAAGGCAGCAUUUUAUUACUACCACGCAGCUAGCAGCUGUCACCCCAUGGCACAGUACCACUACGCUAGGUACCUCUUAUGCCACAGACCUGAAAAUGAGUGGGACAGGCAUCAGAAGGCAGUGACUUUCCUGGAGCAAGCAGCAAUGGCCGGGAUUACAGAGGCACAGGCUUAUCUUGGAGUUUUCUACAUGAAAGGGCUGCAACCUCAGGAAAAGAGAGGUCUGAAGUACCUGCUGCUGGCAGCAAAGAAUGGCGAUGCCCAAAGCAGGUAUCACGUGGGUGUUUGCUAUGAGAAGGGCCUUGGAGUGCAGCAGAACCUGGCAGAAGCGAUGAGGCACUACCGACAGUCAGCUGCUGCGGGGAACAGGAAUGCUCAGCAGAGACUGCGAGUGUUAGAAGAGGAGGUGGAAGAUGUGCAAGCAAAGCAUCCAUUCCCUUCUGGAAUAAGAGCCUCUUCCUCUAGUCCCUGUUUCUGGGCUAUUGAACGUGUGCCUGCAGGCCUCCACACCACCCAGCCACGACAAUCUGCCCUCACCCUGCCCCACUCUAGGAGCGCAGAUGAACUCCACGUGAUGAUGCUCGGCAGCGCAGGAUGGAGCCAUGCCCUCGGAAACAGGGCAACGCCACUGGAACUGCAGUGCUUGGAGCCCCACCACUGCUGUUCUUAGAACAGUGGUUGGAAGGCACAAACUGUGGUACGGAAGAGAGUCCUACGUGUGCACGAUCCAGAAGCAUUUACCUGCCAUCCGGGCACCGCUGUCCAGCAAGCUGCCUACAGAACAGGAGCACUGUCUUCCAGUCCGAGGCUCUUCCCAUGUGCCGACAGCUGCCGCAGAAGCCCUGAGCCUGUUUCGUUGUGAACUUGGACCUUCUGGGACAAAAUCAUUUCAAAGAGGGUGCUCAUUUCUGAAAGGAAAGUGCUGGCAAGUCUUGUCCCAGCAGCAUUCGAGUCAGCCCCAGCACCUUUGCCAAAGGUCUCAAAGGUCCUUGGUUUCUCCUGCCUUGCAGCUUCCUCAUCCUGAGGUGAAUGCAGAGAGUCGGGGGAGAAGACGUUGUCCUUGUAAUUACCAGUGAGCGGCAAGGAGAGUCGAGCCACCCAUGCUGGGUCAGCAGCCGUCAGCCUCUUGAGGGCCAGCUCUGGAGGGAGUGAAAACAAGAACUGUUGGUGAGAUGUGUAGUAGAGUAGAGGAGAGACUCACAGGAGUGAAGAGGGGAAAAAAAAAAAAUACAUAUUGAGAAAUGAGGAGACUUCCAGAAAUCAGCUGUGAGACGUUUGAUUGUAAACAGGUGUAGACAUAAGUUACCAGCAGCUUAAAAAAACCAAACAAACUAGAACUGGUUUAAAACUACUGGGUUUUUGUUGUUGUUGGGUUUUUUUUAAUGUAGUAACCAUUAGGAUAACUUUUGAUUUCUCAUUUGUUGCAGCCUCAAGUGGCACUUCACUAAAUCCUUAGCAAAGCUGAGAAAGUGAGGGUUUAGGACUGGCUAAAGGGGAGAUGACAAUGGAAAGCUUUCAAGGGGGAAGUAUCAGACAAAAAGAAGGUCACUAGUGGACUUCUCUUAAGGGUCACUCUAGGGUGGGAAUUUGCUGCUAAGCCGUCAUAUUGAGACCAAAAAGAAAUGGAUUAUUGUGAGAACAAUAACAACAGGAGUAGAAUGAAAUUUUGGAUUAUAAAACACACAGCUGGAUGGUUGAAAACUAGUAACAAAAAAUUGAGCUAUAAAGUAGUUGUUCAUCAACUGGAAGCAGAUGAGGAGCAGUGGGAGCCUGGCGUGGGUGCUGGCUGCAGGCUUGUUAGCGUACCAGUAAUGCGAUUCUGCCCCAAAAUGGGCAAACGAAAUCAUACAAUGUGUUGGUCAAGGUAUUCCCUGUUGGCAUGAAGAGACAUGUCCGUGAUAUUGUUACUAGGUCUGGCGAGACCUGAUUAGGAGUAUUACAUGCAAAUCUGAUUAUCCAUCCAUAGAUAAGAGGAUCUGAAAUGACAGAAGUGCAGGGGAAACUACUGAGAGGAAAACAGGAAUGAGUCCAGGCUUACAUGAUGGAGACCCCAAGAGGUAGGGGUUGCUUAGCCUAAGGAAACAAACGCUCACCAGGGAUCUGACUGCAACCUGUUGUUAUUUUGAUGAAAUAAGCACCGACAAAGGAAAUCUUUAUGCUUAAAAUAGUGUUGGCAAAAGAAGAAGUGAUUGUAACUGUCCAUGAAUAAACAUACACUGGAAAUUAAAGGAAGGACCCCGUAGCAGGGUGAGCCUGGAAUAGCUUCCUCAUCAGACGGCAGGAAAGGAAACGGGGGCUCUUGUUUUCAAGGUAGAGCUUUGCAGUUGGUAAACAAGACUCCGUGAUGUGGUGCACAGAUGCUGCCUUCCAGCCCCGCAUGGCGUCAUUUCCAAAGCGUAACCUAGAACCACUGCGAGGUUCAAAGCGACCACCGGGUUUGUGAAACACUUGAGUCAGAGAGCAGCAAAGCAAAUAACUGGUGUCUGGCCAUAAAACACCAAGUACCACAAUAGUCCCCAUCAGAUGGCAAGAGCUGGUCUCAUUAUUACAACUAUGCAGCUCUGACACAAAGUGACCUCUGAGAGGAGGGUCACCAUACUUGUGCAGUUAUGCUGCUUCCAGAAGCAUAAUCGAUACCCUACCACAGCCUGGGACACGUGGUCCUCAGUUGGUGGCUAGUCAAGCACUGAGACAAGUCUCCUUCCUCAGCCACUACAUAAUUAAUCCUUUUUCUCUGAAAAACAACAGUCUCCCAGGGUCGGUAGGAUGGGGGUGAGGGCUGGGAUUCAAAACCUGGUCAGGAGAGAAAGGCAGACACAUCACUUAGAUUUUUGUUUCACCUGAAGACCCAAAGUUGGUUUGUGCUGCUUAACUUUCAGGAUUUUUUCUGCAAUCUCAGUAUUUUCUUUCAGUCACAGUGACUGUUCCUUAAAAGCUCUCCCAAGCAUGCUGAAGUCUCACAUUUUUGCUCUGAAAUAUCCACAGUUCUCUCCUCUUCGGUCUGCAAGAAGCCACUGCAUUCCCCGAAUAUUUUGAUGCCUCAGCUCUGGAGCAGAGCACAACAGUAGUCUGCUCGCUGUGGGGAGAGCAGAGACUCUGUAGGCUGAUGGUCUUGUGACCAUGAAACCUUAUAAUUAGGUACGUGUAAUUUGACCAAUAACUCUUUACUGCCUUAUUUUAAUGGUGUUUUGGGGGUUUUUUGUUUUUAUAAUCAAUAAAGUUAUAUCUCUCA